AUGCACGCUGGCGGCGUGCCUAAUACAUGCAAGUCGAGCGAACAGACGAGGAGCUUGCUCCUCUGACGUUAGCGGCGGACGGGUGAGUAACACGUGGAUAACCUACCUAUAAGACUGGGAUAACUUCGGGAAACCGGAGCUAAUACCGGAUAAUAUAUUGAACCGCAUGGUUCAAUAGUGAAAGACGGUUUUGCUGUCACUUAUAGAUGGAUCCGCGCCGCAUUAGCUAGUUGGUAAGGUAACGGCUUACCAAGGCAACGAUGCGUAGCCGACCUGAGAGGGUGAUCGGCCACACUGGAACUGAGACACGGUCCAGACUCCCACGGGAGGCAGCAGUAGGGAAUCUUCCGCAAUGGGCGAAAGCCUGACGGAGCAACGCCGCGUGAGUGAUGAAGGUCUUCGGAUCGUAAAACUCUGUUAUUAGGGAAGAACAAAUGUGUAAGUAACUAUGCACGUCUUGACGGUACCUAAUCAGAAAGCCACGGCUAACUACGUG
rnacentral:rRNA from 1 species